CCUACGGGUGGCAGCAGUGGGGAAUAUUGCACAAUGGGGGAAACCCUGAUGCAGCGACGCCGCGUGAGUGAAGAAGUAUUUCGGUAUGUAAAGCUCUAUCAGCAGGGAAGAAAAUGACGGUACCUGAUGAAUAAGCACCGGCUAACUACGUGCCAGCAGCCGCGGUAAUACGGAGGGGGCAAGCGUUAUCCGGAUUUACUGGGUGUAAAGGGAGCGUAGACGGCAGAGCAAGUCUGGAGGGAAAUGCCGGGGCUUAACCCCGGAACUGCUUUUGAAACUGUGUAGCUAGAGUGCAGGAGAGGUAAGUGGAAUUCCUGGUGUAGCGGUGAAAUGCGUAGAUAUUAGGAGGAACACCAGUGGCGAAGGCGGCUUACUGGACCGUAACUGACGUUGAGGCUCGAAAGCGUGGGGAGCAAACAGGAUUAGAUACCCGGGUAGUC
rnacentral:rRNA from 1 species